GGUAGGUAUAAUUAUUAUAUUAAUAAUAAGCAUUAUAAUAAAGGAAAAAUAGGUGUGAUCAAAAUAAUAAACAAAAAUAGCCAAUGACCGAACGGCGAAGGUCUUCAGCAGGGUAGGAUGGCGUCUGUUGGUCCUGCAAACAAUGUAAGACCACCAGGAGCAUCAGACACCUCAGUUUCUUCUCUAAGAGUAGGAUUACUCUCCAACAGUGGUUGGUAGCCAUUUUGUGGUGGUCCAGAGAAUACCCUGUGACAGACAUGGCAAUGGAGGCUGAGGUGAGACCAUCCACGGGGUGUGAUAUAUACCAAUGGCUCAGGGAGGUAUGCUCAGCAAAGCUAAUCGCAACUGUUAUCCGUCUUGGAGGAGCUGGUGUUAUUGUUCAGAUCGAUGAAAGUCUGUUCCGACACAAACCUAAGGGUGGACGGGGUAGGCGACCCAGGAGUGACUUGUGGGUGUUUGGGUUGGCUGACACGUCAACAACCCCUGCCACUGGCUUUGUCCAGUUAGUGGCAGAUAGAAGAGCAGUCACUCUUGCCUAUAAUACAGGCACAUUGAUACAUUCUGACUGUUGGGCCGCUUACAAUAAUGUAGCAUCGUUGCCAAAUGUUGCAUCCCAUGGCACCGUCAACCACAGUAUUGAGUUUGUGAACAGCGUCACAGGG